rnacentral:rRNA from 1 species
GAUGAACGCUGGCGGCGUGCCUAACACAUGCAAGUCGAGCGAUUCUCUUCGGAGAAGAGCGGCGGACGGGUGAGUAACGCGUGGGUAACCUGCCCUGUACACACGGAUAACAUACCGAAAGGUAUGCCAAUACGAGAUAAUAUGCUUUUAUCGCAUGGUAGAAGUAUCAAAGCUCCGGCGGUACAGGAUGGACCCGCGUCUGAUUAGCUAGUUGGUAAGGUAACGGCUACCAAGGCGACGAUCAGUAGCCGACCUGAGAGGGUGAUCGGCCACAUUGGAACUGAGACACGGUCCAAACUCCUACGGGAGGCAGCAGUGGGGAAUAUUGCACAAUGGGUGAAAGCCUGAUGCAGCAACGCCGCGUGAGCGAUGAAGGCCUUCGGGUCGUAAAGCUCUGUCCUCAAGGAAGAUAAUGACGGUACUUGAGGAGGAAGCCCCGGCUAACUACGUGCCAGCCGCCGCGGUAAUAC